GCGCGUUAGCGGGCGGUGGAGAAUGGCAUUUAAUCUGGCUGGGUUUCUUUCCCCGACCUUCCUGGACACUUCAGUUCGCGACACCUGAUUUGCGCGUGCGCAGUCGGCCUUCCUCGCCUCCACCCACCCUCCGAACUGUCACUGCUGCUGCUUCCUAGCAGCCUUGGCGCUACCGAUGGAACCAGUGCUGCCUAUGUGAAGUUGAGCUGUGUGGGACUGGUGAUGGAGUCAGAAGUCCUGCUUUCCGGGCUCCCAGGGCAGGUGCUAGCCCUAGCGGUUAUGACAGCACUUAGGAUGGCCACAUCCCAUAUCAGAGUGCUGGAGUUCAAGUCCCAGCUCAGAUUCCUGCUAAUGUGCAUCCUGGGAGGCAGCAGGUGAUGGCUCAAGUAUUUGGAUCCCACGUGAGAGACCGGGAAUGCAUUCCCUGUUCCCAACUUCUGCUCCAACCCAGCUCCAGACUUCGCAGGCAUUUGGGGAGUGGACCAACAGGAAUUUUCAAACACACAAAAACGGGAAAUAAUGUGAUGAACUCCAUGCAUUAAUUCCCCAGCUUUUACAACCUUAAAUGUUUUGCCUAAAUAUCUAUCCUCCUUUAUAUACCUCAUUAUAUUUUUUGCUGGAUUAUUUGAAUGCAAUCCUGACAGUAUUUUAUUUUAUGUAUUAAAUACUUCGUUGUGUAUUUCUAACAGUUUAAGAGCAUUUUUUCCUACAUAACCACAAGGGUGUCAUCACCCAAAACAAAAGUAUCAAUGAUCUCAGGAGCAUUUAAAAAUAGGAUUCUGGAAACAGCAAGCCAGGGGAAUGAGUAAUACAGCGUUUCAAGCUCUUCGCUAAGAGGUUUGGGAAAAUGCUCUCAACAAGGGAGGCACUUUCGCUUUUGCAAAUGACGUCAUGGAGUCAGAUGUCAUUUCUUCCUUGUCUGGAGUGGGAUUGACUUUCUUGCCCCC